GAUUAAGUUAUUAAGGGCGCACGGUGGAUGCCUUGGCACUAGAAGCCGAUGAAGGACGUUACUAACGACGAUAUGCUUUGGGGAGCUGUAAGUAAGCUUUGAUCCAGAGAUUUCCGAAUGGGGAAACCCAGCAUGAGUUAUGUCAUGUUAUCGAUAUGUGAAUACAUAGCAUAUCAGAAGGCACACCCGGAGAACUGAAACAUCUUAGUACCCGGAGGAAGAGAAAGAAAAUUCGAUUCCCUUAGUAGCGGCGAGCGAAACGGGAAGAGCCCAAACCAACAAGCUUGCUUGUUGGGGUUGUAGGACACUCUAUACGGAGUUACAAAGGACGACAUUAGACGAAUCAUCUGGAAAGAUGAAUCAAAGAAGGUAAUAAUCCUGUAGUCGAAAAUGUUGUCUCUCUUGAGUGGAUCCUGAGUACGACGGAGCACGUGAAAUUCCGUCGGAAUCUGGGAGGACCAUCUCCUAAGGCUAAAUACUCUCUAGUGACCGAUAGUGAACCAGUACCGUGAGGGAAAGGUGAAAAGCACCCCGGAAGGGGAGUGAAAUAGAACCUGAAACCGUGUGCUUACAAGUAGUCAGAGCCCGUUAAUGGGUGAUGGCGUGCCUUUUGUAGAAUGAACCGGCGAGUUACGAUUUGAUGCAAGGUUAAGCAGUAAAUGUGAAGCCGUAGCGAAAGCGAGUCUGAAUAGGGCGUUUAGUAUUUGGUCGUAGACCCGAAACCAGGUGAUCUACCCUUGGUCAGGUUGAAGUUCAGGUAACACUGAAUGGAGGACCGAACCGACUUACGUUGAAAAGUGAGCGGAUGAACUGAGGGUAGCGGAGAAAUUCCAAUCGAACCUGGAGAUAGCUGGUUCUCUCCGAAAUAGCUUUAGGGCUAGCCUCAAGUGAUGAUUAUUGGAGGUAGAGCACUGUUUGGACGAGGGGCCCCUCUCGGGUUACCGAAUUCAGACAAACUCCGAAUGCCAAUUAAUUUAACUUGGGAGUCAGAACAUGGGUGAUAAGGUCCGUGUUCGAAAGGGAAACAGCCCAGACCACCAGCUAAGGUCCCAAAAUAUAUGUUAAGUGGAAAAGGAUGUGGCGUUGCCCAGACAACUAGGAUGUUGGCUUAGAAGCAGCCAUCAUUUAAAGAGUGCGUAAUAGCUCACUAGUCGAGUGACACUGCGCCGAAAAUGUACCGGGGCUAAACAUAUUACCGAAGCUGUGGAUUGUCCUUUGGACAAUGGUAGGAGAGCGUUCUAAGGGCGUUGAAGCAUGAUCGUAAGGACAUGUGGAGCGCUUAGAAGUGAGAAUGCCGGUGUGAGUAGCGAAAGACGGGUGAGAAUCCCGUCCACCGAUUGACUAAGGUUUCCAGAGGAAGGCUCGUCCGCUCUGGGUUAGUCGGGUCCUAAGCUGAGGCCGACAGGCGUAGGCGAUGGAUAACAGGUUGAUAUUCCUGUACCACCUAUAAUCGUUUUAAUCGAUGGGGGGACGCAGUAGGAUAGGCGAAGCGUGCGAUUGGAUUGCACGUCUAAGCAGUAAGGCUGAGUAUUAGGCAAAUCCGGUACUCGUUAAGGCUGAGCUGUGAUGGGGAGAAGACAUUGUGUCUUCGAGUCGUUGAUUUCACACUGCCGAGAAAAGCCUCUAGAUAGAAAAUAGGUGCCCGUACCGCAAACCGACACAGGUAGUCAAGAUGAGAAUUCUAAGGUGAGCGAGCGAACUCUCGUUAAGGAACUCGGCAAAAUGACCCCGUAACUUCGGGAGAAGGGGUGCUCUUUAGGGUUAACGCCCAGAAGAGCCGCAGUGAAUAGGCCCAAGCGACUGUUUAUCAAAAACACAGGUCUCUGCUAAACCGUAAGGUGAUGUAUAGGGGCUGACGCCUGCCCGGUGCUGGAAGGUUAAGAGGAGUGGUUAGCUUCUGCGAAGCUACGAAUCGAAGCCCCAGUAAACGGCGGCCGUAACUAUAACGGUCCUAAGGUAGCGAAAUUCCUUGUCGGGUAAGUUCCGACCCGCACGAAAGGCGUAACGAUUUGGGCACUGUCUCAACGAGAGACUCGGUGAAAUCAUAGUACCUGUGAAGAUGCAGGUUACCCGCGACAGGACGGAAAGACCCCGUGGAGCUUUACUGUAGCCUGAUAUUGAAAUUCGGCACAGCUUGUACAGGAUAGGUAGGAGCCUUUGAAACGUGAGCGCUAGCUUACGUGGAGGCGCUGGUGGGAUACUACCCUAGCUGUGUUGGCUUUCUAACCCGCACCACUUAUCGUGGUGGGAGACAGUGUCAGGCGGGCAGUUUGACUGGGGCGGUCGCCUCCUAAAAGGUAACGGAGGCGCUCAAAGGUUCCCUCAGAAUGGUUGGAAAUCAUUCAUAGAGUGUAAAGGCAUAAGGGAGCUUGACUGCGAGACCUACAAGUCGAGCAGGGUCGAAAGACGGACUUAGUGAUCCGGUGGUUCCGCAUGGAAGGGCCAUCGCUCAACGGAUAAAAGCUACCCCGGGGAUAACAGGCUUAUCUCCCCCAAGAGUUCACAUCGACGGGGAGGUUUGGCACCUCGAUGUCGGCUCAUCGCAUCCUGGGGCUGUAGUCGGUCCCAAGGGUUGGGCUGUUCGCCCAUUAAAGCGGUACGCGAGCUGGGUUCAGAACGUCGUGAGACAGUUCGGUCCCUAUCCGUCGUGGGCGUAGGAAAUUUGAGAGGAGCUGUCCUUAGUACGAGAGGACCGGGAUGGACAUACCUCUGGUGUACCAGUUGUCGUGCCAACGGCAUAGCUGGGUAGCUAUGUGUGGACGGGAUAAGUGCUGAAAGCAUCUAAGCAUGAAGCCCCCCUCAAGAUGAGAUUUCCCAACUUCGGUUAUAAGAUCCCUCAAAGAUGAUGAGGUUAAUAGGUUCGAGGUGGAAGCAUGGUGACAUGUGGAGCUGACGAAUACUAAUCGAUCGAAGACUUAAUCAA
rnacentral:rRNA from 1 species